rnacentral:tRNA from 1 species
GACAGCGUGUCCGAGUGGUUAAGCAGGCGGACUUGAAAUCCACUGGGCUCAGCCCACGCAGGUUCGAAUCCUGCCGCUGUCG